rnacentral:rRNA from 1 species
GACGAACGCUGGCGGCGUGCUUAACACAUGCAAGUCGAGCGAUGAAGCUCCUUCGGGAGUGGAUUAGCGGCGGACGGGUGAGUAACACGUGGGUAACCUGCCUCAUAGAGGGGAAUAGCCUUUCGAAAGGAAGAUUAAUACCGCAUAAGAUUGUAGUACCGCAUGGUACAGCAAUUAAAGGAGUAAUCCGCUAUGAGAUGGACCCGCGUCGCAUUAGCUAGUUGGUGAGGUAACGGCUCACCAAGGCGACGAUGCGUAGCCGACCUGAGAGGGUGAUCGGCCACAUUGGGACUGAGACACGGCCCAGACUCCUACGGGAGGCAGCAGUGGGGAAUAUUGCACAAUGGGGGAAACCCUGAUGCAGCAACGCCGCGUGAGUGAUGACGGCCUUCGGGUUGUAAAACUCUGUCUUUGGGGACGAUAAUGACGGUACCCAAGGAGGAAGCCACGGCUAACUACGUGCCAGCAGCCGCGGUAAUAC